rnacentral:rRNA from 1 species
GACGAACGCUGGCGGCGUGCUUAACACAUGCAAGUCGAACGGAAAGGCCCUGCUUUUGUGGGGUGCUCGAGUGGCGAACGGGUGAGUAACACGUGAGUAACCUGCCCUUGACUUUGGGAUAACUUCAGGAAACUGGGGCUAAUACCGGAUAGGAGCUCCUGCUGCAUGGUGGGGGUUGGAAAGUUUCGGCGGUUGGGGAUGGACUCGCGGCUUAUCAGCUUUUUGGUGGGGUAGUGGCUUACCAAGGCUUUGACGGGUAGCCGGCCUGAGAGGGUGACCGGCCACAUUGGGACUGAGAUACGGCCCAGACUCCUACGGGAGGCAGCAGUGGGGAAUAUUGCACAAUGGGCGGAAGCCUGAUGCAGCAACGCCGCGUGCGGGAUGACGGCCUUCGGGUUGUAAACCGCUUUCGCCUGUGACGAAGCGUGAGUGACGGUAAUGGGUAAAGAAGCACCGGCUAACUACGUGCCAGCAGCCGCGGUGAUACGUAGGGUGCGAGCGUUGUCCGGAUUUAUUGGGCGUAAAGGGCUCGUAGGUGGUUGAUCGCGUCGGAAGUGUAAUCUUGGGGCUUAACCCUGAGCGUGCUUUCGAUACGGGUUGACUUGAGGAAGGUAGGGGAGAAUGGAAUUCCUGGUGGAGCGGUGGAAUGCGCAGAUAUCAGGAGGAACACCAGUGGCGAAGGCGGUUCUCUGGGCCUUUCCUGACGCUGAGGAGCGAAAGCGUGGGGAGCGAACAGGCUUAGAUACCCUGGUAGUCCACGCUGUAAACGGUGGGUACUAGGUGUGGGGUCCAUUCCACGGGUUCCGUGCCGUAGCUAACGCUUUAAGUACCCCGCCUGGGGAGUACGGCCGCAAGGCUAAAACUCAAAGGAAUUGACGGGGCCCCGCACAAGCGGCGGAGCAUGCGGAUUAAUUCGAUGCAACGCGUAGAACCUUACCUGGGUUUGACAUGGAUCGGGAGUGCUCAGAGAUGGGUGUGCCUCUUUUGGGGUCGGUUCACAGGUGGUGCAUGCCUGUCGUCAGCUCGUGUCGUGAGAUGUUGGGUUAAGUCCCGCAACGAGCGCAACCCUUGUUCACUGUUGCCAGCACGUUAUGGUGGGGACUCAGUGGAGACCGCCGGGGUCAACUCGGAGGAAGGUGGGGAUGACGUCAAGUCCUCAUGCCCCUUAUGUCCAGGGCUUCACGCAUGCUACAAUGGCUGGUACAGAGAGUGGCGAGCCUGUGAGGGUGAGCGAAUCUCGGAAAGCCGGUCUCAGUUCGGAUUGGGGUCUGCAACUCGACCUCAUGAAGUCGGAGUCGCUAGUAAUCGCAGAUCAGCAACGCUGCGGUGAAUACGUUCCCGGGGCU